rnacentral:lncRNA from 1 species
CCCACCCCUCCCGUCACCUUGCCUUCCCUCCCAUCACCACGCUCUCCGUCUCCCGUCUGCCGGUCCCUCCCUCGUUCCCUUUCGGAAAACCGAACUAUUUCCAACUUGUGAACUGCAGCUGCACUUCCCGGGGCAGAACCCGGGAGGGAACGAGGCUCCGGCGGGGCCGCCGCCUCCCCACUCCUCUCGGCUCUGUCCCGGGGCCCGGCGGGGGCUGGG